UGGGGAAUUUUGCGCAAUGGGGGGAACCCUGACGCAGCAACGCCGCGUGCGGGACGAAGGCCUUCGGGUUGUAAACCGCUUUCAGCAGGGAAGACAUAGACGGUACCUGCAGAAGAAGCUCCGGCUAACUACGUGCCAGCAGCCGCGGUAAUACGUAGGGGGCGAGCGUUAUCCGGAUUCAUUGGGCGUAAAGCGCGCGUAGGCGGCCGCCUAAGCGGAACCUCUAAUCCCGGGGCUCAACCUCGGGCCGGGUUCCGGACUGGGCGGCUCGAGUGCGGUAGAGGCAGGCGGAAUUCCCGGUGUAGCGGUGGAAUGCGCAGAUAUCGGGAAGAACACCGAUGGCGAAGGCAGCCUGCUGGGCCGCCACUGACGCUGAGGCGCGAAAGCUGGGGGAGCGAACAGG
rnacentral:rRNA from 1 species